rnacentral:sRNA from 1 species
AAGGCCUAAUCUAAUAAUAAUAAAGCCUGAAAUAAAAAAUCCUCUUCUGCCGAUGACGUUCCUGUCUCAUUUCUCAUUUCUCAUCAUCAAGAGCAUAAUCAUACUUAAGAAACUUUGAUUUCAUUGGCGUGUUCCGGACUUCCGCUCCGCUUAACCAUUCGGCAGUGAGUGGAUAACGGAUGUUCUUCAUCAGUUCAAUGAUGAUUUGUGCCUUGCGCCCUUGCUAUAUUUUCGUGGAAGCAUAUUAUCUACUAUCACUGCACUAAUAUCAUUAUCAAUGUGUAGUGUAGGAUUCUACUAGGAGAAUGAUGUGCGAGCUACAUUGAUGCAUAGUUGUGCGUGCUGU